UUAGUCUCGCCAACUGAGUUUGAGUUUGUCUGCCCAACCGAGUUUUGAGAUCGCUUCCCUAGCUAAGUUGUGAGCAUGUAUUCUCAACGGUUUGCAUAGAUUCAGUACAAAUUUUUGUUUCCCCUUAGUUCCCCAGCGGAUUUCACUCCUGAUCCCCCAUUAACAUUGAUUCUUAAGCAGUUUUGGUAGUAUCCCCUGCGAGGUU
rnacentral:lncRNA from 1 species